CUAGAAACUGAUUGUCCAAACGCAAUUCUUGUGCAAUUUUGAAGUAAAACCCAAGAAUUGUGGCUGGACAUCUGUUGCUGG
rfam:Lepisosteus oculatus linkage group LG21, whole genome shotgun sequence.